AGACUCGUUGAGUUCACUCUCUGUCUCUGUCUUCUUCGCUUGAGCUUGAUCGACGCUCUUACAUCCGCCGUUUACAGUUCCGAUCAGUAAGACAUGAGUCAUAACCCGGAGGUUCUUUGGGCUCAGCGGUCUGAUAAGGUUUACCUAACCGUCGCCUUACCUGAUGCAAAGGACAUUUCAGUCAAAUGUGAGCCUCAGGGCCUAUUCACUUUCUCUGCUCUUGGCACCCUAGGCAAGCUCUUUGAGUUCAGCUUGGAGCUAUAUGGGAAGGUUGUGCCAGAGUAUAGGAAGAACGUUACAAACUGGAACCUCUUACAUCAAAGUAGACUGGAACAAAUGGUGUGAUGAGGAUGAGGAGGUCAACUCUGAGACAGCCUGAUGAUGAGAGUGCAUUUGUUGAUGAAGAUUGUGAGAGCAGUGAUGAUGAUGAAUUGCUUUGUAAGUUUCAACAACCUUAAUCUUCUUACUUUUAAGGUUUUACAAAUUUAAUAUUUUUUUUCUUAAGGAUUUUAUAUUGGGUAACACCAUUGCACAUAUAUUUUAGAGAAAAGUCCUUAACUAUUUAAAAAGCAAAAAAUAUAUAUAUUAUAUAGCUAAAGACUCCAAUGGUGGGUAACACCAUUGGAGUUGCUCUCAUAUAUCUAUAGGAAUUUUAAUGUUUGUGCCAAUUCUUUUGCAAAAUUGUCUAGAACGUGAAUUUUAUUAUUUUCCUCUAGAAGACAGAAGAUCAUUAUUCUUUGGAACAUAUUUUCUUCGGACCAAUAUUUGUUUUAAUUAAAUGCCGGCUAGUUGACAAAAAAAUAAACAAUGCAUUGUAGUACUGUAAAUUAUUAUGGAUGAAACGUAUUGAGGAAAUAUUUUUAACCAAAACACAUUCUUACUUUUAUUUUCGAGGCAAGAAAUGCUAGAUAGGUGUAUAUACACUGUCUGAUACCA